GCUAGCUUUUUGACGAGAAACAAUCACAGAGACUUAAACCUCUCCAAAUGCAGGAGAAUUUCCUCUGGUUUUCGUUCUUCAUGGACUGGUUCCAGCAGCGUCUCUUCGCUUUCUUCCAGAAACUUGUUCGCUAGAGAGAUAUGGGGCUGGGUGAAUUGCAAGAGCGUUACUUUCAAAAGAGACGUUCGUGGCGUGGUAAAGGCGGAAAUGUUUGGGCAGUUAACAAGCGGCCUUGAAGCGGCUUGGAGCAAGCUCAAAGGAGAAGAGAUUUUGACCAAGGACAAUAUUGCGGAGCCUAUGAGGGAUAUCAGGAGAGCUCUUCUGGAAGCAGAUGUGAGUCUUCCUGUUGUUAGAAGGUUUGUGCAAUCAGUAAGCGACCAAGCUGUGGGUGUUGGCCUCAUACGAGGAGUGAAACCUGAUCAGCAGUUGGUCAAGAUUGUACAUGAUGAGCUUGUAAAAUUGAUGGGUGGGGAGGUGUCUGAACUGGUUUUUGCAAAAUCUGGCCCCACUGUUAUAUUACUGGCUGGUCUACAAGGAGUUGGAAAGACAACUGUUUGUGCAAAGUUAGCUAAUUAUCUCAAGAAACAGGGGAAGUCUUGCUUGCUUGUUGCUGGAGAUGUGUAC
rnacentral:misc_RNA from 1 species